ACCAACAGCCACUCCAGCGCACACACUUCGUUGCAAGCUAUCAUGACACACGAAAAAAAAAAAUCACCAGCAACCAGAGCCAGAGAGAGACCAACAGGUUGCUUGCCACUUUUGCUGCCUUUGCCUGGGAGAAGUCGAGUCACUCUCCGGCCCCUUUGAAAUAUGGCUCGCCCGCGCUGAGUUUCUGCCAACGCACCAACCGAUAGAUACGGACACCAUAGGCACCACAAUCAGUGUACAGUUUGCUGAGGAGAGAGGAGUUUCUGCUAGAGCUUCCUGCCUGGACUUCCUUCUCAGCCUGCUCUUCUUUCUCCUGCUCUGGAGGAUUGAAUUCCUGGGCGCUGUGACUGCUGCACCUUUGCUGGACCGGGUAUAACUUUAUAUUUCUUUCAUUGACAUUGGUGCCAGUUUGGCUAUUUCAUUAAAUCCAUUUUUAUUUCA